GACAGAGGUGCCGAGCGUUAGGCGGAAUCACUGGGCUUAAAGCGUGUGUAGGCGGAUUCCUAAGUACCUUGUGAAAUCCCAUGGCUCAACCAUGGAACUGCUUGGUAUACUGGGUGUCUUGAGGCCAACUAGGGCUACCGGAACAAAUGGUGGAGGCGGUGAAAUGCGUAGAUAUCAUUUGGAACGCCAAUGGUGAAAACAGGUAGCUGGGGUUGUGCUGACGCUGAGACACGAAAGCCAGGGAGCGAACGGG
rnacentral:rRNA from 1 species